CCUACGGGAGGCAGCAGUGGGGAAUAUUGCGCAAUGGGCGAAAGCCUGACGCAGCGACGCCGCGUGAGGGAUGAAGGUCUUCGGAUCGUAAAACUCUGUUAGUAGGGAAGCACGGUCACUGUGCUAACCAUCAGCGAAUUGACGGUACCUGCAAAGGAAGCACCGGCUAACUCCGUGCCAGCAGCCGCGGUAAUACGUAGGGUGCGAGCGUUAAUCGGAAUUACUGGGCGUAAAGCGCUCGUAGGCGGUAUGUCAAGUCAAGGGUGAAAUCCCCGCGCUCAACGUGGGAGCGGCCUUUGAAACUGGCAAACUGGAGUGUGUGAGAGGAAAGUGGAAUUCCAGGUGUAGCGGUGAAAUGCGUAGAUAUCGGGAGGAACAUCAGUGGCGAAGGCGACUAUCUGGCACAUAACUGACGCUGAGGCGCGAAAGCGUGGGUAGCAAACAGGAUUAGAUACCCGUGUAGUC
rnacentral:rRNA from 1 species